ACAAACGCAAAAGUGUGGUUUGCGUUUGAAGCGGCGGAGAUCGAUCUGGGAUUUGGGUCGAGAUCUUUUUUUUUCCCUUUGCCGUAUUGUGUCAUUUUGUGGAACUCGAACCUCUCAUUCUCUCAUUUUUUUUUUUCCAAUCUCUUCCUCUUACGUAAGAACCCUAACGAAGUCGAAGAUUCUCUGGUAGAUCUAUCUUGAUUCGAUUCGAUUCUUCCUUUUUCCCGUCGCUAUUGAAAUCGAACGAAAGAGGUGAAGUUCUUACUAAGUCAGAGGUAUAUAACAGAGAGAGGGAGCUAUGGAUUUGGAUCAAUGGAUUUCCAAAGUUAAAGAUGGUCAGCAUCUUUCUGAGGACGAGCUUCAGCUUCUUUGCGAAUACGUGAAAGAAAUACUCAUUGAGGAGUCAAACGUACAGCCUGUAAACAGUCCUGUCACCGUCUGUGGUGAUAUACAUGGCCAGUUUCAUGAUCUCAUGAAGCUUUUUCAGACUGGAGGUCAUGUUCCAGAGACAAAUUACAUAUUUAUGGGGGACUUUGUGGACAGAGGUUACAACAGCCUUGAAGUCUUCACUAUUCUUUUACUUCUUAAAGCUAGACAUCCAGCCAAUAUUACACUUUUGCGUGGAAAUCAUGAAAGUAGACAGCUAACGCAGGUGUAUGGAUUCUAUGAUGAAUGCCAAAGGAAGUAUGGUAACGCUAAUGCGUGGCGAUAUUGCACAGAUGUUUUUGACUAUCUUACCCUGUCAGCUAUUAUAGAUGGCACAGUUCUAUGUGUUCAUGGUGGCCUUUCCCCGGAUGUUCGGACAAUUGAUCAGAUAAGACUGAUCGAGCGAAAUUGCGAAAUUCCUCAUGAAGGGCCCUUUUGCGAUCUUAUGUGGAGCGAUCCUGAAGAUAUUGAAACAUGGGCGGUUAGUCCACGUGGAGCUGGUUGGCUUUUUGGAUCCAGGGUUACCACUGAGUUUAACCAUAUCAACAAGCUAGAUCUAGUAUGCCGCGCCCACCAGCUUGUCCAAGAAGGUCUUAAGUACAUGUUCCAAGAUAAAGGCCUUGUAACUGUGUGGUCUGCACCUAAUUACUGUUACCGCUGUGGCAAUGUUGCGUCUAUAUUGAGUUUCAAUGACAACAUGGAAAGGGAAGUGAAGUUCUUCACAGAGACAGAAGAGAACAACCAAAUGAGGGGGCCAAGAAGUGGAGUUCCGUAUUUCCUAUGAAGAAUCAACACAUUAUUAUAUUUGCUGUGAUGAUAAAGAUGAUGAUGAUGAAGCCAUUGCUACCAUUGGCAAUAUGUUCAGUGUUGAAAAGAUCUUUAAUCAGGGUUUGGUAAGCAAUAACUAUUGACGUCUCCUCAGUUCUUCUUCCUUUUAUUGUCCUUGUCGUGUUGGAGGAUCACUGGAGCUGCCGGUAUACAAAACCACCACUCUCUCAAUGGUUCCGUGCUACCUCUCUGUGUCCGUGAGUAUCUUGCGAACAGCUCAACAAACACCACCGAAAACAAGUAGCGUCUCGGAACAAAAGCCAUCAUCGUCGCUGUAACCACAAUCACAAUCACAAAUCACAAACUUCUCCCUCGCAUGAAAUGAAAUCACGGUUAAACACAAAGUUCGGAGAAGCAUUUGUGUUGAAUAUAAGACGCCACGCAGACCUGAGGGGAAAGCGAGAAUAACAAAGCUAGUAACUUGAGAAGAACUAUGUUUGCGUCUUGAAUGUUUGCACACCUAUAACGCCAGAGACUGAACUGGAGAAGAUUUUCGUACGCAUUGCAUUUGUCAAACUGAAAGCCGAACUAUAUUUUUGUUUUUGUUAUUUUUUUUGGUUUGUUUGUCAACAACUUCUUAUGAAUUCCACCAUUUAUUAUUAUU